CGCGUAGGCUGUUGAGUAAGUCAAAUGUGAAAUCCCCGGGCUUAACCUGGGAACUGCAUUCGAUACUGCUUAACUAGAAUAUGGUAGAGGGAAGUGGAAUUCCGGGUGUAGCGGUGAAAUGCGUAGAUAUCCGGAGGAACACCAGUGGCGAAGGCGACUUCCUGGGCCAAUACUGACGCUGAGGUGCGAAAGCGUGGGGAGCAAACA
rnacentral:rRNA from 1 species